rnacentral:rRNA from 1 species
CGCGUAGGCGGGUUUUUAAGUUGGGGGUGAAAUGCCGAGGCUUAACCUCGGAACUGCCUCCAAAACUGGGAGCCUUGAGGUAUGGAGAGGGAAGUGGAAUUCCAGGUGUAGCGGUGAAAUGCGUAGAUAUCUGGAGGAACACCCGUGGCGAAGGCGGCUUCCUGGCCAUAUCCUGACGCUGAGGUGCGAAAGCUAGGGGAGCGAACGGGAUUAGGAUACCCCGGUAGUCCUAGCCGUAAACGAUGGAUACUAGGUGUUAGAGGUAUCGACCCCUCUAGUGCCGCAGCUAACGCAUUAAGUAUCCCGCCUGGGGAGUACGACCGCAAGGUUGAA